UCUGAGAAUGCUUCUCUCUAGUUUUUAGGUGAAGAUAUUCCCGUUUCCAACGAAGGCCUCAAAGCGUUCCAAAUUAUCCACUUGCAGAUUCUACUAAAAGAGUGUUUCAAAACUGCUCUAUGAUAAAGUAUGUCCAAUUCUGUGAGUUGAAUGCAAACAUCACAAAUAAUUUCUGAGAAUUAUUCUGUUUAGUUUUUAUGUGAAGACAUUUCCUUUUCAACCAUAGGCCUCAAAGCGCUUCAAAUGUCCACUUGUAGAUUCUGCAAAAAGAGUGUUUCAAAACUGCUCUAUCAAAAGAAAGUUUCAUCUCUGUGAGUUGAAUGCACACAUCAUACAGAAGUUUCUGAGAAUGCUGCUGUCUAGUUUUUAUGUGAAGAUAUUCCCGUUUGCAAUGAAGGCCUCAAAGCGUUCCAAAUAUUCACUUGCAGAUUCUACUAAAAGAGUGUUUCAAAACUGCUCUAUAAGAUAUCUCCAACUCUGUGAGUUGAAGGCAAACAUCACAAAGAAGUUUCUGAAUGCUUCUCUCUAGUUUUUAUGGGAAGAUAUUUCUUUUUCCACCAUAGGCCUCAAAGUGCUCCAAAUGUCCAAUGCAGAUGCUACAGAAAGAGUGCCUCAAACCUGCUCUAUCAAAAGAAAGCUUCAACUCUGUCAGUUGAAUGCACACAUCAGAAAGAAGAUUCUGAGAAUGCUUCUGACUAGUUUUUAUGUGAAGAUAUUUCCUUUUCCACCAUAGGCCCCAAAGCGUUCCAAAUGUCCACUUGCAGAUUCUGCAAAAAGAGUGUUUCAAACCUGCUCUAUCAAAAGAAAGGUUCAACUCUGUGAGUUGAAUGCACACAUCACAAACA
rnacentral:lncRNA from 1 species